rnacentral:rRNA from 1 species
GUGCCAGCCGCCGCGGUAAUACGGCUUGUGCAAGCGUUAAUCGGAAUUACUGGGCGUAAAGCGCACGCAGGCGGUCUGUCAAGUCGGAUGUGAAAUCCCCGGGCUCAACCUGGGAACUGCAUUCGAAACUGGCAGGCUAGAGUCUUGUAGAGGGGGGUAGAAUUCCAGGUGUAGCGGUGAAAUGCGUAGAGAUCUGGAGGAAUACCGGUGGCGAAGGCGGCCCCCUGGACAAAGACUGACGCUCAGGUGCGAAAGCGUGGGGAGCAAACAGGAUUAGAUACCCUGGUAGUCCACGCCGUAAACGAUGUCGACUUGGAGGUUGUGCCCUUGAGGCGUGGCUUCCGGAGCUAACGCGUUAAGUCGACCGCCUGGGGAGUACGGCCGCAAGGUUAAAACUCAAAUGAAUUGACGGGGGCCCGCACAAGCGGUGGAGCAUGUGGUUUAAUUCGAUGCAACGCGAAGAACCUUACCUACUCUUGACAUCCAGAGAACUUUCCAGAGAUGGAUUGGUGCCUUCG